rnacentral:rRNA from 1 species
GCGCAACCCUUGUCCUUAGUUACCAGCACGUUAUGGUGGGCACUCUAAGGAGACUGCCGGUCGACAACCGGAGGAAGGUGGGGGAUGACGUCAAGUCAUCAUGGCCCUUACGGCCUGGGCUACACACGUGCUACAAUGGUCGGUACAAAGGGUUGCCAAGCCGCGAGGUGGAGCUAAUCCCAUAAAACCGAUCGUAGUCCGGAUCGCAGUCUGCAACUCGACUGCGUGAAGUCGGAAUCGCUAGUAAUCGUGAAUCAGAAUGUCACGGUGAAUACGUUCCCGGGCCUU